rnacentral:rRNA from 1 species
CCUUUGUACACACCGCCCGUCGCUACUACCGAUUGAAUGGCUCAGUGAGGUUUUCGGACUGGCCCAGGGAGGCGGGUGACUGCCACCCAGGUGCCGGAAAGUUACCCAAACUCGGUCAUUUAGAGG